UCGCACACGCUUUCCAUGCCCUGCCCCUUCUUCCAAGUUGCAACUGCUUCCCCCACCGUCCAUUCCUCUCUCUCUCUCUCUCUCUUUCUCUCUCCUCACUCUCUACAACAGGAAUUACUUUACCAACAAAUCCCCUCCCUCUCUCUCUACCCAAAGAUGAACCUCUCUCUUAUUAAUUGAAUGGUACUGCCUUCGUUAGUGUUCUUUCAGAAACCGAACUGGAUUUAUCACACUUGUCGGAAUAUUCCUCUUCUCUCUCCAUUCCUUCUAUUCUCGCAGUCUCCUUCCUCUCAACGAUGAUGAGGGCCCUCAAGACCCGGGAUCGCCUUCCUCUCCGCCGAUUGCGUCAGUAAGGGAGUCCUGCAGUGGUAAUUGGGGCAGUUUUGCUAUUGGUAUUCAAUCUAUUGGCAUCACGAUCAGUGGGAUAAUUGUCUCCAUUUUCCUGGCUGGCGAUGGGUUUGGCUCGAAUUGGAAAUGGGACUAAAGUUUGCGAACGUAUGGCAAGUAGAGAUGCAUCAGUUUGUGCUUACCAAUUAGCUCUAUUGCUGUGUCCUGUGGUUUCUGUUUGGGAUUGCGUUGUUAGGAAAAUGAGAUAUUCCUUCAUACCUGAGUGGGUGUAGCUAGUUCACUCCAAUCGAAUUUGGGUUUCCUUAUUUUAAAUUUUUUGGAUUUUUGUUAUAAAAAGUCGUUUGUCCCAAGUCCUUAAAGACUGUAAUCUAUUUCUAAGGGGAAUGAAAAUCAAAAGAAGGUUUUUAUGGUUUUAUUCAUAUUGGGGGGAAAUUAAGAGCUAGAUAAGUGGAUGAGUGUGCAUAAAAGGACAGUUUCUCAGUGGUUCCUUUACAAAACAUUGAUUAAAUAAGACAAGACAGAGCUAGCAAUCAUGGAUAGUUCUGCUUGUGUUGCAUCAGUUGUAAGGAAAGAGAAAAAGAAGCAGGGGAAAGAUGAAGUGGACCGCAUAAAGCAAGCCGAGAAGAAGAAGAGGCGUCUCGAGAAAGCACUUGCUACCUCCGCUGCCAUCCGAUCUGAGCUUGAAAAGAAGAAACAGAAGAAAAUUGAAGAGCAAAAGCGUCUCGAUGAAGAGGGUGCAGCCAUUGCUGAGGCAGUGGCUCUUCAUGUCCUAUUGGGUGAAGACACCGAUGAAUCCAAUCAAAUUCUUCUUAACAAGAAGCAAGGGUUAAAUGUUGGCCUUGAGCGCAGAAAUGUUGGCCUCUUCAUGGGUGGAUGGAGAAAGGCUUUGCCACAGCAAAGCUGUGCAAGAUACUCUGUUGAAGGACUUGGGUGGUUUUCCAAUUCGAAUGUUUCUGAAUAUAAGUGGAAUAAUUGGCAUAUGGGUCACUUUGGGUCACCUCAAAUAACUGAGAGAGAUGUUUCCUUUGCUGGUGCGAGGCUGCUUGGUGUUGGCAAUGGACCUGGUAUGCUCAUGAAUGUCUGUAUGGAAAGAAGGGGGCUCUGUCAUGAUGAGAGAGGUUGGGGAAAAGAGAUCUCGGUUGCAGCUCAGGCUGUUUCUUCUCUUCGAAUCGCAGAAGAAGUACAUGCAGUGAACCUGAGUGGUAAGUGACCAUCAUCAAUGGUUAUAGAUGGGAUAUUGGAGGGUGGCAGUUUGAAGAUCAAGCGCAGUCUUUGUAGUAAAGUAUGAGUCCUAUUGAUUAUUCCCUGGUAAGUUUUAUGUAUUUUAUCAUGUGUGUUGCUGUGUAGUUACUAGCAUUAGUGUGUAUUUUCCAAUACUAGUGAGUGGGAUGGGUCAAAGUUUGGAGGUCCUUACGCCAUCAAAAAAACACAAAAAAGGCUUGGAGGUCCUUAUUGAUUUCUAUUCACUGGUGCCUAACUUCUGGACUUCUAUAGCAUGCUAUUAAAAGGUAUGGUUUCAAUGUGUCAAGGAAUGCAACUUGGUUUGAGUUAUUGCUGUUAGCAUCCAAGUUAUUUGUUCAUGGAACAUGCAAGGGCCACAAGUUUCCCCAUAUGCCUAAUGUCAUAUGCAAUCUUAUGGAACACUAAGUGAGAAUAACAUAUGGUGGUUAUUAUGAACUUCCUACACUCUAGAACUUGCAGCUUAUGCUUUGAGAAGAAGGUUUUUAAGGCUGUUUGAAAUGAAAGGUAUAGUUGUUUCAUUUCAGGGUGUUUAAUCUAUCAAGCAGUGUCUUACUACUUGGUUCAGCUGCAGAACUAGGCCCCUGGUCUGGCAGAGUUACUCACGGAAGUGCGAGUUGACUUGUCGGAGUCUGUGCUGAGCUUGAAAGAAGCCCCACCCCAAAAAAGAAAAAAGAAAAAAGUAGGAAAAACCCUGAAAAAGCAGCGAAAGUAGAAAACUAGUAAAAAAUAAAAGCCGAUAAAAGUUGGAAAAUGAUACUAAUUUGAUGACUUUACAGUGAAAUUUUCAGUAUGGAAAUUUUUGUAAUAGCCUUAACAUAUAUUUUCAUCUUUAAUUGUAAAAUUGAAAGAUUAAAAAAUAGUGUAGAUCGAGCAAACCUAUGAAAACUUGAAAAUCUUGAAAAUUGACGGUCAAAAAAUGCGUUACAAGAUGCACUAUUUUCUAAACUUUAAAUCCAUUUUUUUCUCAUCUCCAUCCAUCGUGAUGUCAAGAUGAUCAAUUUGAUGAUUUUUGGGCAUCAAAACAACCUCUUCUAGUGAAAGUUUUGAGGUAGGCUGUAAUUUGAUUGUUUUGAGCCUAGGCUCUAUAUAAACUUUUCCUAAUAUAUAUAUUACCUCUGAGUCUUGGGGGUUUCAGGGCUUAGCAGCCUGCUAAGCCUGAGUAACUUGGGUGAGUUGGACUUGCCCAAGUUUGCAAACAUUGCUGUCAAGGCAUAUGUACUGUGAUUUAGUUGGAAUACUAUGGCUCAAUGGUGACAAUGGAAAUCAGAAACUGAUGGUAUCCUGAACAUUUGAUUCACAUAUUGGAAUAUGGUUAAAAUGUUAUCAAA